rnacentral:rRNA from 1 species
UACGUAGGGAGCAAGCGUUGUCCGGAAUUAUUGGGCGUAAAGAGCUCGUAGGCGGCUUGUCGCGUCGAUUGUGAAAGCCCGGGGCUUAACUCCGGGUCUGCAGUCGAUACGGGCAGGCUAGAGUGUGGUAGGGGAGAUCGGAAUUCCUGGUGUAGCGGUGAAAUGCGCAGAUAUCAGGAGGAACACCGGUGGCGAAGGCGGAUCUCUGGGCCAUUACUGACGCUGAGGAGCGAAAGCGUGGGGAGCGAACAGG